rnacentral:rRNA from 1 species
CAGUAGCCACGGGAAUACAGAGGGUGCGAGCGUUAAUCGGAUUUACUGGGCGUAAGCGUGCGUAGGCGGCUUUUUAAGUCGGAUGUGAAAUCCCUGAGCUUAACUUAGGAAUUGCAUUCGAUACUGGGAAGCUAGAGUAUGGGAGAGGAUGGUAGAAUUCCAGGUGUAGCGGUGAAAUGCGUAGAGAUCUGGAGGAAUACCGAUGGCGAAGGCAGCCAUCUGGCCUAAUACUGACGCUGAGGUACGAAAGCAUGGGGAGCAAACAGGAUUAGAUACCCCCGUAGUCCCUGUCUCUUAUACA